ensembl:rRNA 5S_rRNA 5S ribosomal RNA
GUCUAAGGCCAUACCACCCUGAACACACCUGAUCUCAGAAGUUAAGCAGGGUUGGGCCUGUCUAGUACUUGGAUGGGAGACUGCCUGGGAAUAUCAGGUGCUGUGGCCU